UUGAACCCAGGACCUCAUGCGUGCUAAGUGCGUGCUCUACCACUGAGCUAUACCCACCCACCCCACUGUUGUCUGUGUUUUUAAAUGAGAAAAUGGGUUCCUUGUUUUUUCACUCUGCUCAUUAUAUAUUGCUUAAAGCAGUUAAUUGUCUUCUGCAGCAGCUCCACCGCCCGAGCCCGCACCUGGUCUGUCGGCUGUUGGCCUCAGCCGAGCCAGUGCCCGGCGGGCCGCCCGCCACGGGGAAGCCCCCACCGGCUCGGAGCCCUAGGUUUUUUCAUUGUUCUUUAGAUUCAGAUUGAAAACUUCUGGACAGAAAUGUUAAAAAUCAUUUUUCAAGGUGGUGGACCUCUCGCUGAGACAGUGACAUGCGUUCCUGGGCCGUGGGUGUGAAGCCUCAGCGACCGGCUCUGCGUCUUACUGUUAUUUGAUCCCGUGUUUGUGGACGUUUAAGGAGAUCCCUCAGUAAGAAAAGAUCAGUGCACAAGUCAGCCCACUUCUCAGAUGCCUGUGCGCUGCCAGCACGGCCCGGCCAUUCACUUAGGUUGGAGAAAUCCCUUACCUUUGAGACCUCCUGACGGCCAGCCCUCCAUCAGACACGAUUCCCAUGUUGCCUGCUCCAGGUUGGAGGGAGGGGGCCGUGGCAGCUGGGUGUUGGGUGCCGUUUCCCGGUGGCUGGCGGCCCCACCUGCGCUCUCGCUCCUGCGUGGCUUCCUUCCCCCGUCUGGGGCCCUGGGCGGCUGCACCCCGUGCAGUCAGUCACCUGCCGCAGAGCCGGUGUCGUGGCCCGCUGCUCCCACCUGCGGGGGACGUCCGUGGUGUGCUCUGCUGGUGCGCGUGUGUGCUUCGUGUGGUUUUCCGCACACACGGGGCUGGCCCAGCAGAGUGGCUGUGCGGUGUGAGGCCCUUCACUGUGGUUCCCGGAGGACGUGGGUCUCAGGGGGCACCUGGCGGCGUUGGAAGGAAGGCUGAGGGGAGGCCUUGGCAGCUGGGCCCCGCAGUACAGGGCGCUGGGUGUUGGAGGUUUCCGUCCUGGGUAGGAGGUGGGGUACCAUUUAUGCCGCGGGCCUGCCCACGGGCGGCCACGCUGCUGGUGCUGCCGUGGGUCCACCUGCCUCCAGGCUAUGCCAGGGUGGGCGCGGGGUCUGGGCGGGGCCAGGGCUUCUCAGCCCUGUGGACUCCCACCCGCUCUGUGACAGAUCUGCAGUGCCUCUCUUACUGUCUGCAAUGAAAUUCCCAGAAAAUAUAACCUAAUUACAUGCCUAGUUUAAAAAGUCAAUUCAAUGCCGUCACAGGAACGUGAGACUAAAGGUUGCAGGUUUCAUAAAAUGUACGUCUGAGUCAAGAUUCUCAGGCAUAACUGCACAAGUGUCGUAGAAGGAGAAGGGAAGUUGUCUGUUCCUCGCAGAGUUGGGUCCCUCGCCCUUGGCAGUUACCACGUUCAGACAGACAGGCCUGGGCUUCUGGCGCAGAUACUGGGGAGCACUGCCACUGGAGCCCCGACUCAGAAGGGACGUCUGUUCUUGACGAAGUUACAAGUACUGCCAAGUGCUUUUCUCCCUGGUUCACAAGGUAGGGGCAUUCCUGGAAAAUUCCUAGAAUGAAGAGUGUGUGUAAGAGAUGGAGAAAUUGUUCACGUGCUGAGGAGUGGGGAAGUCAUUCUGGACUGUACGUGGUUUGGCUUGAACUUCAUGCUAACUAGAACAGACUGUCCCCUGGCCUGCCAAACAGGCAUCACACAUCUGCUUUAACCUUUAAGAAAAGGAUGGAGCCGGUGGCCACUGUGCACGUGGUUUCAGAUGAUUCCUGCAUCACUGAGAACUUGAAUUUUCUGAACUGUAUCAGACUCGAGGAUACCACCAGCCGUUCUCAAAACAGUAUCUGUCAGCAUCUGCCACCUGCAACCUUAUGGUCUCGAGGUCUCUCCUUGUAACUGCAUUUGGACCCCAACCAGUUCUUGCUUAACAAGCACCUUUACUUUUUCCAACUCCGAUCCUAAAUCCUGAAUCUGUCUCCCAGCCUAUGGUCUUCUGUUUGGCUCGAGUAAAGCUCUUUUCUAUCCUGUUA